rnacentral:rRNA from 1 species
GCCACUUUAAUUUGAUGGAUAUCGUAUACUAUAAAUAUAUUUAAAUAUGAACUCUAAAGAGUAUAUAAAUUCAGUUUAAAAUUUUAAACAAUAUAAGAAAUUAUAAUUUAGAUAGUUUAUUAAUCUAGGUUAAUUAGGUGCCAGCAACCGCGGUCAAACCUAAUAGGUUAGUAUACAAGCUUAUUUAAUAAUUUAAUGUUCUUUAAAGUAACGUAAUAAGUAGUGAAAUAUUAUUUAAAUAUUAACCCACAAAAGUAAGUGCUAAACUAAAUUCAUAUGCAAAACUAGGAUUAGAGACCCUACUAUUAUGAACUCAAUCUGAUUAUUUCUAAGAAGUAAGAUUACAAAAUUUAAACUUAAAAAUUAUGGCGGCUAAAUAAAACAUUUAGGGGAACUUACCAUAUAAUUGAUAGCCACCAAGCAUAACUAUACUUACUCUCAUAAAAUUUGUAUACCGUUGUCUUCAUAAACCCUUUUAGAGGGUUUAUAACUAUAAAUUUAAUUAAUAUUAAGACAAAUCAAGGUGCAGUCUAUUAGUAAGAAUUAAGGUGAGUUACAAUAAAAUAUUUUUUCGGAUUUUUUUAUGAAAUAGUAAAUAAAGAUGGACUUAAAAGUAAUUUCCAAGAUUAAUUAAAAUAUGAAUAUGUCUUACUUA